CGAAGAGGAAGAUCGCCAUUGCCCCACGUGAACUCGCCCGGUCAGGCGAAUAUUCCACUUUUGACUUUGCCGAGAUGUACGUACGACAGCGCGGAACAUCGGGAACUGCUAAGGGCUCGAAGACUACUGCGACUCAUCCGCUCUGAAGAAGAUCGUGAGUUGAUUGCAUAAAAGAAUGUCUCACUUUCUGUUGCCCUGGUUGCAGUGCUUGUUUCCUUUGCCAAAAAUUUGUUUUGGUGUGCUGCCGAGAUCUUUGAAAAUGCCUCGCUGUGGAAUCUGUGGGUAUGAUUGCAUUGAGGAGGUAAUUCGUCGUAUGGAGGAGGAAGUUAACGUUCCAAAUUUAGAUCCUGCUUUGUUUGAUGAAGAGUGGGGAUUAGAAUUUGAUCAGGUUUUGAUGGAUGGAGUUUUUGAUGAUAAUACGCCGGCAGAUGCUGUGCAAAUUCCAGAUAGCCCAGAGCCUGUUGUGAACGAUCUCGCGGAACAUGUUUCGGUGGCUCAUCCUGGUGUUAGCGUACCAUACUUUCCAUUCUUUGAAACCGCUGCGGCCUUUAAAGGGUACCUGUUGGCGUCACCGUAUGACGACUUUGUCGAGGAUCCGUUCGAAUACCUGGUACAUUACCAGCAUGAUAUAGUUUCCAUAUUACAACAGCACCCCAUACCUUUUAAAUUUUAUAUGUGCGUGAAAGUACUGAUGGUAAAGCGAGUUGGCGAUUCGAUUAGUAGCCAUUUUGCUUUUCUAAGUGCCGUGUCACGAGAAAUUCAUAGUCUCGCGGAUAUAAUGGUUGCGCUAAAAGAAUGAUUAUCGAGUUAGCGCGCAACCUUGAAAAUUAUCAGGGUGAAGGUAGCGGUUACGUAUCUCGGGACGUAUCCGAAAUUGAAUUGAACAUAAGCACGAUUGAAAAAAAGAAGAUUGGUUGUGACACUGUAAUUCCUGCCGAACUGAAAAAAAGAAGAAGAACACUCACAAAUUUAAAAUGCCCCGACAACGAGCGUUUCAAAUGCAAUACUUUAGCGCAAUUGCAUCCUCAACAAAAAUAUGGAAAUGAUUGGAAAACAUAUCGCAAAUAUCUGGUUGAUCUCGAAUCGAAUCCAUCGGCACGAGUCAGAUGGUGGCCCAACAGUCCGGUAUCAUAUUCGGAGAUUGCAGAAUUUGAAGAACGGAACCAAAUUGAAGUGUAUGUGUACUCAUAUCAGGAUGGGAGUAUCCACACUUCCCGUGUUCCGCGUCUCGCAUUUAAUGAUAAAGUGCAAUGAUUGGAAUUUGAUAAUCACUUUUUUGGGACAAAGAAUUACAGUACCCUGUUUGGUCGCAAAGAAAUGUUUUUUUGUGAAAAGUGUACGAGGGGAUUUACAACACAGGAAAACCUAGUGUCACAUAGGAGAGUGCGAAGGAAUUUUGAGGAGCUUUUGUUGGAGUUCCCUGAGCCAGGUAAGAAUGUUCUAAAAUUUGACAAGUUUGGUCACAUGUUUGCAUUUCCAUAUAUUAUCGGACUCGAUACAGAGUCUGUCCUCGACCCUAAUACGAACGUGAAAAGUGCCGUGCAGAAGCAUGAUAUGAGUUCCUUUUGCUGCAUUCUAAUCAGAACCUAUGAUUCGAAAGUACUCGCAAAUGAAAAAUAUUUAGGCCCCGAUGCCGCUUCCAGGUGCGUCGACUGCCUGUUAUGUUUUCAUAACAAGGUGGUCGAUAUCAGUCGUUGCCCUGCCCCCAUUAAACUCACAGAUGAAGAAACUCGUAAACAUAUCGCUGCAACGCACUGUGAGUAUUGUGGUGUGUUAUUUAGUGUUGACAGGAAAAAGGUUCGUCAUCACGAUCACAGCCGUGAAAGCAGUGUCAGCAACUUUUUGGCUACCAUUUGUAGCGAAUGUAACAUCAGUUGCAGCAAUCAUGGCAAAAUUCCUGUGCUCACCCACAACCUUCAGUACGACAUCAGCUCCUUGUUGCAUUGCUUCCAUGCUUUGAAGUGAAAACGCCCACCCAAGCUCAGCGCAACGAGUUCGGAGAAGAUUCAGAAUUUUGAAUAUGGGAAUCUCAUAUUCAGGGACACCACGCAAUUUUUAAAUAGUUCCCUUUCUUGCUUGUUGUUUGAAGGUAUCAGAAGGAAUUAAGGCAUUUAAGUGUCUACAGCAAGUGUAUGGUAAUGACUUUGCACGUUUAACCAGGAAAGGUGUGUACCCUUAUUCCUGGAUCAAAAGCUCUCAAGUCUACAAUGAAGAAUGCCUGCCGGCCAAGGAUGGUUUUUAUGAUGAUUUGAAUGGAACACACAUCAGCGAUGAUGACUAUGCUUUUGCUGGGGAAACAUAUGAUCAUUUUGAUUGCAAGUCAUUGAAAGAUUAUACAUUGAUCUUUUUGGAACGUGAUGUCCUGGUCCUGUUAGAUGUUAUGCAGCAUUUUAGACAGCUUUCUAUGAAGACAUGUGGAUUGGAAGUGCUGCACUUUGUCAGUCUACCCGGAUUUUGUUGGCAGGCUGCUCUCAAGUGUAUAAAGGCCAAGAUCGAGCUGCUUACAGAUGAAGAUAUGUAUCGAACCAUCGAGUCUUCUAUUAGAGGUGGUAUUUGCCAACAAGGAUUGAGGUAUGUUGCUGCCAAUAACAAAUAUUGUGCAAACUUUGACCGGGAGAAACCGCAAAGUUACAUCUCCUAUUGGGAUGCAAACAGUCUGUAUGCCAGUUGCCAAACAUUGCCAUUGUCUAUUGGAAGAUUCGAGUGGGUGCCCGAAUCCGAAUUUUCGAGUUUGGACAUCAUUAACCAUCCUCAGGAUGCAGAGUACGGCUACAUUUACGUGUGCGACCUCGUCUACCUGCCGGAGCUACACCAGAAGACCAGGUAUUUCCCACUAGCUCCAAUGAAACAAAAGGUUGACGACAGUUGGUUGUCAGAGUAUCAGUUGGCUGUAAAAGACCAAUUGAAUUACAAACCUGCAGCACAGGGUAAGUUACUUCUCACUUGUAAUGAUAAAACAGAGUAUGUUGUACAUUAUCGUUUGUUGAGUCUAUAUUGCAAGUUAGGUAUGCGGGUGAGCAAAAUUCAUAGAGUGUUGAAAUUUCGUCAGGGUACGGUCUUUGGCCCGUACAUUGAAAUGAAUAUUAAGCGACGCAUUGCAGCGCAAACGAACUUUGAAAAGCAGAUAUUGAAGUUAAGCUGUAAUGCCCUUUACGGUAGGACACUCCUUUACCCCAGGCGAUUUAGAUCAAUUAAGAUAGCAUUCACCAAAGAAGAGGCCCAAAGAUAUAGCUCCUCAAACGACUGCAUUCGAUUUGAAAUUUUGUCAGAGAAUUGUGUGUUGUAUGAGAUGAAGAAAAGGAAGGUAAAGUGUAGCUUUCCAUUACAGAUUGGUUUUUGUAUUUUAGAUUAUAGUAAGUUGGUAAUCUACGAAUUUGUCUAUUGCACUCUCUUGGAAAAAUUGAAUUGCCCCAUCACCAUCAUGUAUUCGGAUACCGAUUCUAUCAUUGGUGUGUUUCAUACGUCAGAGUAUCAAGAGGAAAUCAAAAAGAUUGCAGAUGAUCACCUUGAUCUUUCAUCCUAUCCCAGUGAUCAUCCACUCUAUAGCAAUAAAAAUAAAGGGCAUUGUUCCACUUCAAGGAUGAGACUGGAGGUAGGAUAAUUGAAGAGGUGGUUGCUCUGAAAGCAAAAAUGUAUUCUAUCCGAUUGAGUGACGAUAGUCAAAGAGCAAAAGGUGUUACGAAAAGUAUUGCUCGUAGGGAAUUGCAUCACAAUGUAUAUAAAGAUGUUUUGUUUAAUAGUGUGAAGGUAAGUCAUCUACAAAGGACCAUAUGUAGUAAGCGCCAAUGUAUGUAUACAGUGGAAACAACUAAGCUUGCACUCAUGCCCUAUGAUGAUAAGCGAUACCUCUUUAAUGCAAUUGAGUCAUACCCAUAUGGAAGCUGUGAAAUUGGUAAUGAGUAAGUAUAUUCUUUAUUAUGUGUAUUGUGUUUCUUCUGUUACAGGUCGUGAAGGUUUUUCGGCUGGGUUUUUCUCCUUCACCUGAUUGGCAUCACAAUUGGCACAAUUUCCAGCACAAUUGGCUUUAAUAAAUAUAUCUCAACUUGAUUGGCAUUACAAUUGGCAUUAAUAAAUAUAUUUUCACUUGUG